rnacentral:rRNA from 1 species
GCUUGUCUCAAAGAUUAAGCCAUGCAUGUUCAAGUAUAGCAAGUGUACAGUGAAACUGCGAAUGGCUCAUUAAAUCAGUUAUAAUUUAUUUGAUAGUGAAAUUGUACAUGGAUAACCGUGGCAAUUCUAGGGCUAAUACAUGCGUCAAUGGUCGGUCGACCAGUAUUUAUUAGAUCCAACCAGCCCGGUUCGCCGGAGUCCCUGGUGAGUCAUAAUAACUGAGCGAAUCGCAUGGCCUUGUGCCGGCGAUGGUUCAUUCAAGUUUCUGCCCUAUCAGCUUUCGAUGGUAGGGUAUUGGCCUACCAUGGCGUUAACGGGUAACGGAGAAUUAGGGUUCGAUUCCGGAGAGGGAGCCUGAGAAACGGCUACCACAUCCAAGGAAGGCAGCAGG